GUUGUAUGGUUAAGUGACUAAGCGUACACGGUGGAUGCCUUGGCAGUCAGAGGCGAUGAAAGACGUAGUAACUUGCGAUAAGCCCAGAUUAGGUAGUAACAACCAUUUGAGUCUGGGAUUUCUGAAUGGGGAAACCCACGUGCAUAAGCACGUAUCCUUACCUGAAUACAUAGGGUAAGGAGGCGAACCGGGGGAACUGAA
rnacentral:rRNA from 1 species